ensembl:lncRNA
CUUUUAUAGAACAGAAUUGAGGAGGAGACUCGGGAAGCUGCCUUCCUGUCUUCAGGGCUGGAAAUCCACGAGUGAGUGCGUGCACAUUACUGAAUUGCCAAUGCAUCACACUAACUCCAUGUGAUGCUCCUGACAACACCAUGAAUUCAGUGAAAUCAGCUCCCUUUGUUCAGAUGAGGAAACAGAUCCUGGAGCUGUUUAUAAGAUUCAGAGCAGAUCUUCCCGACCCCAAGGGUCAAGUCAUGGAAAUUCAUUCUAAUGCUGCCUCCCGGGACCUUGAGUGUCGUGUCUCCUGAGUCACACGUGUUUACCCUCUGCACUCGCCACUUCUCCGCUUUGACCUCCUGGAGGUGGAAGGAUGGAACCAAGGCCAGGUCAAGACAAAGGCCUGGGUCUCCUGCUGCGCCAGGUCGGCUCCUCUCAGCGUUUCACAGAACCUGCUGGAUGAUACACAGUCACCUUCAUUCCAGAGUGUUUUCAUUUCCCAGGGCUGCGUAACAAAGGAUGCCAGACCAGAGCAACAGAAGUUCGUUCGGGAGGCUGGAAGUCUGAAGCCCAGGUGUGGGUGGGGCUGGUUCCUCCUGGAGCACUGAAGGAGAAUCUUCUGGAGGCUCUCGUCCAUCCUUGAUGCUCCUUGGCAGGUGGCAGAGUAACUCCAGCCUCUGCCUUACCAUGGCUCCUCCCUGUCUCUGCCUCGUCUGUACCUGUG